UACGGAGGGUGCGAGCGUUGUCCGGAAUCACUGGGCGUAAAGGGCGCGUAGGCGGCCUGAUAAGUAGGGGGGUGAAAUCCUGCGGCUUAACCGCAGGGCUGCCUUCUAAACUGUCAGGCUGGAGCACAGUAGAGGCAGGUGGAAUUCCCGGUGUAGCGGUGGAAUGCGUAGAGAUCGGGAAGAACAUCAGUGGCGAAGGCGGCCUGCUGGGCUGUUGCUGACGCUGAGGCGCGACAGCGUGGGGGAGCAAACAGG
rnacentral:rRNA from 1 species